GCUCCCAUCGUCUAGCGGCCUAGGACGUCGCCCUCUCACGGCGAAGACCGCGGGUUCGAAUCCCGCUGGGAGCG
rnacentral:tRNA from 1 species